AUUGAACGCUGGCGGCAGGCCUAACACAUGCAAGUCGAGCGGAGCGGCGGACGGGCGAGUAAUGCCGAGGAAUCUGCCUGGUAGUGGGGGAUAACGUCCGGAAACGGGCGCUAAUACCGCAUACUAUCAGAUGAGCCUAGGUCGGAUUGGCUGGUUGGUGGGGUAAAGGCCUACCAAGGCGACGAUCCGUAGCUGGGCGGAGAGGAUGAUCAGUCACACUGGAACUGGGACACGGUCCAGACUCCUACGGAAGGCAGCAUUGGGGAAUAUUGGACAAGGGGCGAAAGCCUGAUCAAGCCAUGCCGCGUGUGGGAAGAAGGUUUUCGGAUUGUAAAGCACUUUAAGUUGGGAGGCGGUACCAAAAGAAUAAGCACCGGCUAACUUCGUGCCAGCCGCCGCGGUAAUAG
rnacentral:rRNA from 1 species